AAUCCAUGACUAGGGCAUUGCUUCAAUAAACUUUUGAAUCUCUCACAUGCUUCAAACAGUGAUUUUUCCUCUAUUUGAGCAAAGUUCAUGAUUUGAUUUCUCAUU